GAUGAACGCUGCCGGCAUGCUUAACACAUGCAAGUCAACUUGAAGUUGGGUUUUUACCUUAGGUUUGGGUGGCGGACGGGUGAGUAACGCGUAAAGAACUUGCCUCACAGCUAGGGACAACAUUUGGAAACGAAUGCUAAUACCUAAUAUUAUUAUAAUAGGGCAUCCUAUAAUUAUGAAAGCUAUAAGCGCUGUGAGAGAGCUUUGCGUCCCAUUAGCUAGUUGGAGAGGUAACGGCUCACCAAGGCGAUGAUGGGUAGCCGGCCUGAGAGGGUGAUCGGCAACAAGGGGACUGAGAAACGGCCAUUACGCAUUAGGGAGGAAGCAGUGGGGAAUAUGGGACAAUGGACCGAGAGUAUGAUGAAGCAAUUCUGUGUGUAAGAUGAAGUAUUUCGGAAUGUAAAGUGCUUUCAGUUGGGAAGAAACAAAUGACGGUACCAACAGAAGAAGUGACGGCUAACUACGUG
rnacentral:rRNA from 1 species